rnacentral:rRNA from 1 species
AUUUUAAAGGGCUGCAGUAUAUUGACUGUACAAAGGUAGCAUAAUCAAUAGUCUUUUAAUUGAAGACUUGUAUGAAUGAUUUGAUGAAAUAUAUACUGUCUCUUUUUUAAAAUUUAAAACUUAAUUUUUUAGUUAAAAAGCUAAAAUUUUUAUAAAAGACGAGAAGACCCUAUAGAGUUUUAUAAUUAUUUAUUUUUAUUUUAUAUAUAAAUAUUAAAAAUUAAAUAUAAAUAAUUAUUUUGUUGGGGUGAUAGAAAAAUUUAAUUAACUUUUUUUUAAAAUUUAACAUUAAUAUAUGAAUAUAUGAUCCAUGUUUUAUGAUUAAAAGAAUAAAUUACCUUAGGGAUAACAGCGUAAUUUUUUUUUUUAGUUCAUAUAAAAAAAAAAGUUUGCGACCCCGAUGUUGGAUUAAAAUAAAAUUUAAAUGCAAAAGUUUAAAAUUUU